UACGAGGGGGGCGAGCGUUGUUCGGAAUUAUUGGGCGUAAAGGGUGCGUAGGCGGUUUGGUAAGUCUCUUGUGAAAUCUAUGGGCUCAACUCAUAGUCUGCAAGGGAAACUGCCGGGCUUGAGUGUGGGAGAGGUGAGUGGAAUUUCCGGUGUAGCGGUGAAAUGCGUAGAUAUCGGGAAGAACACCCGUGGCGAAGGCGGUUCUCUGGGACGGUACUGACGCUGAGACGCGAAAGCGUGGGGAGCGAACAGG
rnacentral:rRNA from 1 species